rnacentral:rRNA from 1 species
GUAGAAUUGCCAUUGAUACUGUUAUUCUUGAGUAUAGUUGAGGUGGGCGGAAUGUGUAAUGUAGCGGUGAAAUGCUUAGAUAUUACACAGAACACCAAUUGCGAAGGCAGCUCACUAAGCUGUUACUGACGCUGAGGCACGAAAGCGUGGGGAGCAAACAGGAUUAGAUACCCUGGUAGUCCACGCUGUAAACGAUGAUCACUCGUUGUUGGCGAUACACCGUCAGCGACUGAGCGAAAGCAAUAAGUGAUCCACCUGGGGAGUACGGCGGCAACGCUGAAACUCAAAGGAAUUGACGGGGGCCCGCACAAGCGGAGGAACAUGUGGUUUAAUUCGAUGAUACGCGAGGAACCUUACCUGGGCUUGAAAGGGGAUCGACCUCCCGGGAAACCGGGAUUCUCUUCGGAGCGGUCUCCUAGGUGCUGCAUGGUUGUCGUCAGCUCGUGCCGUGAGGUGUCGGGUUAAGUCCCAUAACGAGCGCAACCCCUAUUGUUAGUUGCCAGCGGGUAAUGCCGGGAACUCUAACGAAACUGCCGGUGUAAACCGAGAGGAAGGUGGGGAUGACGUCAAAUCAGCACGGCCCUUAUGUCCAGGGCUACACACGUGUUACAAUGGCCGGUACAAAGGGCAGCUACUUGGUGACAAGAUGCUAAUCUCGAAAACCGGUCUCAGUUCGGAUCGAAGUCUGCAACUCGACUUCGUGAAGCUGGAUUCGCUAGUAAUCGCGCAUCAGCAACGGCGCGGUGAAUAC